CGUCAACACCAGACGAUCCCCAGAAAGGCCCUUAUACCAAUUGAAGUGGAAAACCUCCCCAAGUUAUCGACCAAACCACCCUUCCUUCCCUCUUCCAACGUCCCCCACCUUCCCCUUUCCCCAUCUAAUCCAACACCAUGACCGUCUUGUCUUCCUCCUCCUCCCCUUCUUCUGUUCAACUUCUUCUCCUCUUGUUUUCUCUUCUCCUCGCAUCCCUCACCGCCCAAUCCCCCGGCUCCCCGCCCACCGGCACUACCAUCUACGACCUCCUCCCCGAGUACGGCCUCCCGUCGGGCCUCCUCCCCGACACCGUCAAGUCCUUCUCCCUCGCGGAGAACGGGAGCUUCGCCGUCGAGCUCUCCGGCCCCUGCUACAUCGACUUCGAAUACCUCGUCUACUACGAGCCCAAGAUCUCCGGCGUCGUCAAGUACGGCGGCAUCGAGGACCUCAAGGGCGUCAAGGUGCGCCGUUUCCUCAUCUGGUUCGAUGUGGAUGCCAUCAAGGUCGACCUGCCUCCCUCCGAGUACAUCUACUUCCAGGUGGGGUGGAUUACCCGCAAGCUCCACGUCGAUCAGUUCCAGACGGUGCAUUCGUGCAAGGCGACUCAGGGGUUCCUGGAAAGCGCCGAGGAGGUUUUCGAUUGGUCGAUAUAGUUUUGAUCCUAAAGUAAGAGUAGCAAACUCACUUGAAAUGUACGACUUUGGUCCAUAGACUAAGCAUGGAGAAAUUUGUCGGAUUAGUGAUCCUGAGAGUUAACAUUGGACUUGUUCAGGGUGACCCAUGCCAAAUACAGAUACUGAGCCAUAGAGGGAUAGUUGAUCCCACGACUCUGUGAUAUCUCCCAGCCAAUGCCAUAGAUCAAGCUGGAGACCAUUGAAAGAUACAGUUAGGCAAUUCAAGGCAGCCUAGCUAGCGAUGUAACUGUCAUUUUGGCAUCUCUACAACCGUAUGAACCUUUGGCAUGAAGAUAUCCUUCCUUAUGUCACUUACCUAAGCUUCUUAAGUGGUGGUUCAAUCCAUCUAAAUAACAUUACUCUUUCUUUC